CCUACGGGAGGCAGCAGUGAGGAAUAUUGGUCAAUGGACGAGAGUCUGAACCAGCCAAGUAGCGUGAAGGAUGACUGCCCUAUGGGUUGUAAACUUCUUUUAUAAAGGAAUAAAACGAGGCACGUGUGCCUUUUUGUAUGUACUUUAUGAAUAAGGAUCGGCUAACUCCGUGCCAGCAGCCGCGGUAAUACGGAGGAUCCGAGCGUUAUCCGGAUUUAUUGGGUUUAAAGGGAGCGUAGAUGGAUUGUUAAGUCAGUUGUGAAAGUUUGCGGCUCAACCGUAAAAUUGCAGUUGAUACUGGCAGUCUUGAGUACAGUUGAGGUAGGCGGAAUUCGUGGUGUAGCGGUGAAAUGCUUAGAUAUCACGAAGAACCCCGAUUGCGAAGGCAGCUUACUAAACUGUAACUGACAUUGAUGCUCGAAAGUGUGGGUAUCAAACAGGAUUAGAUACCCGGGUAGUC
rnacentral:rRNA from 1 species